GAGAGAGACAUGCGCGCAUAUCAAUAAGCGGAGGAAAAGAAACUAACAAGGAUUCCCUUAGUAACGGCGAGUGAAGCGGGAAGAGCUCAAAUUUGAAAUCUUCAAGGUUUUACCUUGACGAAUUGUAGUUUAAAGAAGUGUUUUCUGCUGAAGUUUUGGUAAAAGUUCUUUGGAAUAGGACAUCAUAGAGGGUGAGAAUCCCGUAUUUGACCAUUAUCUUCAGCUUUGUGAUACACUUUCAAAGAGUCGGAUUGUUUGGGAAUGCAGUCCAAAAUGGGUGGUAAAUUUCAUCUAAAGCUAAAUAUUGGCGAGAGGACCGAUAGCGAACAAGUACCGUGAGGGAAAGAUGAAAAGAACUUUGAAAAGAGAGUUAAACAGUACGUGAAAUUGUCAAAAGGGAAGCGUUUGACACCAGUGUUGUUUUCUCGAAAAUCAAUUAAAAAUGGCUCGAUUUUGUAUUGUUGAGACCUUAAAAGCUCACUGUACAUUUUUCGUGUCUUUUUUAAUGCACUUUUCGUUUAACAAGUCAACAUCAGUUUCUUUUGUUGUAAAAGGGUCAUUGGAAGGUGGCUUUCUUUUCGGAGAAAGUGUUUAUAGCCUUUGGCCUCUGCAAUCGGAAGAGACUGAGGUCUGCAGCGUAGACUCCUCGGGGUUAGAUACAUUUGUGCUAAGUUAUAGCUUUUUAUAGACAACUUGUUGACUAUAAUUAGUCUUGUAGCUUACUCGCUUAUGCUAUUUUACCUACGCUUAGGAUGUUGAAGUCAUCGUAUCGCGC
rnacentral:rRNA from 1 species